CAGCCGCCGCGGUAAUACGAAGGGGGCUAGCGUUGUUCGGAAUUACUGGGCGUAAAGCGCACGUAGGCGGAUAUUUAAGUCAGGGGUGAAAUCCCGCAGCUCAACUGCGGAACUGCCUUUGAUACUGGGUAUCUUGAGUAUGGAAGAGGUUAGUGGAAUUGCGAGUGUAGAGGUGAAAUUCGUAGAUAUUCGCAGGAACACCAGUGGCGAAGGCGGCUAACUGGUCCAUAACUGACGCUGAGGUGCGAAAGCGUGGGGAGCAAACAGGAUUAGAUACCCCCGUAGUCCCUGUCUCUUAUAC
rnacentral:rRNA from 1 species